AGUGAACGCUGGCGGUAGGCCUAACACAUGCAAGUCGAACGGCAGCACAGUAAGAGCUUGCUCUUACGGGUGGCGAGUGGCGGACGGGUGAGGAAUACAUCGGAAUCUACUUUUUCGUGGGGGAUAACGUAGGGAAACUUACGCUAAUACCGCAUACGACCUACGGGUGAAAGCAGGGGAUCUUCGGACCUUGCGCGAUUGAAUGAGCCGAUGUCGGAUUAGCUAGUUGGCGGGGUAAAGGCCCACCAAGGCGACGAUCCGUAGCUGGUCUGAGAGGAUGAUCAGCGACACUAGAGCUGAGACACGGUCCAGACUCCUACGGGAGGCAGCAGUGGGGAAUAUUGGACAAUGGGGGCAAGCCUGGUCCAGCCAUACCGCGUGGGUGAAGGAGGCCUUGGGGGUGGGAAGCCCUUUUGUUGGGAAAAAAAAGCAGCAGGUUAAUACCCCGCGGUUCUGACGGUACCCAAAGAAUAAGCACCGGCUAACUUCGUG
rnacentral:rRNA from 1 species